rnacentral:rRNA from 1 species
GGGUUGUGAGGUUAAGCGACUAAGCGUACACGGUGGAUGCCCUGGCAGUCAGAGGCGAUGAAGGACGUGCUAAUCUGCGAUAAGCGUCGGUAAGGUGAUAUGAACCGUUAUAACCGGCGAUUUCCGAAUGGGGAAACCCAGUGUGAUUCGUCACACUAUCAUUAACUGAAUCCAUAGGUUAAUGAGGCGAACCGGGGGAACUGAAACAUCUAAGUACCCCGAGGAAAAGAAAUCAACCGAGAUUCCCCCAGUAGCGGCGAGCGAACGGGGAGCAGCCCAGAGCCUGAAUCAGUGUGUGUGUUAGUGGAAGCGUCUGGAAAGGCGUGCGAUACAGGGUGACAGCCCCGUACACAAAAAUGCACAUAUUGUGAGCUCGAUGAGUAGGGCGGGACACGUGGUAUCCUGUCUGAAUAUGGGGGGACCAUCCUCCAAGGCUAAAUACUCCUGACUGACCGAUAGUGAACCAGUACCGUGAGGGAAAGGCGAAAAGAACCCCGGCGAGGGGAGCGAAAAAGAACCUGAAACCGUGUACGUACAAGCAGUGGGAGCACGCUUAGGCGUGUGACUGCGUACCUUUUGUAUAAUGGGUCAGCGACUUAUAUUCUGUAGCAAGGUUAACCGAAUAGGGGAGCCGAAGGGAAACCGAGUCUUAACUGGGCGUUAAGUUGCAGGGUAUAGACCCGAAACCCGGUGAUUCAGCCAUGGGCAGGUUGAAGGUUGGGUAACACUAACUGGAGGACCGAACCGACUAAUGUUGAAAAAUUAGCGGAUGACUUGUGGCUGGGGUGAAAGGCCAAUCAAACCGGGAGAUAGCUGGUUCUCCCCGAAAGCUAUUUAGGUAGCGCCUCGUGAAUUCAUCUCCGGGGGUAGAGCACUGUUUCGGCAAGGGGGUCAUCCCGACUUACCAACCCGAUGCAAACUGCGAAUACCGGAGAAUGUUAUCACGGGAGACACACGGCGGGUGCUAACGUCCGUCGUGAAGAGGGAAACAACCCAGACCGCCAGCUAAGGUCCCAAAGUCAUGGUUAAGUGGGAAACGAUGUGGGAAGGCCCAGACAGCCAGGAUGUUGGCUUAGAAGCAGCCAUCAUUUAAAGAAAGCGUAAUAGCUCACUGGUCGAGUCGGCCUGCGCGGAAGAUGUAACGGGGCUAAACCAUGCACCGAAGCUGCGGCAGCGACACUGUGUGUUGUUGGGUAGGGGAGCGUUCUGUAAGCCUGCGAAGGUGUACUGUGAGGUAUGCUGGAGGUAUCAGAAGUGCGAAUGCUGACAUAAGUAACGAUAAAGCGGGUGAAAAGCCCGCUCGCCGGAAGACCAAGGGUUCCUGUCCAACGUUAAUCGGGGCAGGGUGAGUCGACCCCUAAGGCGAGGCCGAAAGGCGUAGUCGAUGGGAAACAGGUUAAUAUUCCUGUACUUGGUGUUACCGCGAAGGGGGGGGGACGGAGAAGGCUAUGUUGGCCGGGCGACGGUUGUCCCGGUUUAAGCGUGUAGGCUGGUUUUCCAGGCAAAUCCGGAAAAUCAAGGCUGAGGCGUGAUGACGAGGCACUACGGUGCUGAAGCAACAAAUGCCCUGCUUUCCGUGAAAAGCCUCUAAGCAUCAGGUAACAUCAAAUCGUACCCCAAACCGACACAGGUGGUCAGGUAGAGAAUACCAAGGCGCUUGAGAGAACUCGGGUGAAGGAACUAGGCAAAAUGGUGCCGUAACUUCGGGAGAAGGCACGCUGAUAUGUAGGUGAAGUCCCUCGCGGAUGGAGCUGAAAUCAGUCGAAGAUACCAGCUGGCUGCAACUGUUUAUUAAAAAACACAGCACUGUGCAAACACGAAAGUGGACGUAUACGGUGUGACGCCUGCCCGGUGCCGGAAGGUUAAUUGAUGGGGUCAGCGCAAGCGAAGCUCUUGAUCGAAGCCCCGGUAAACGGCGGCCGUAACUAUAACGGUCCUAAGGUAGCGAAAUUCCUUGUCGGGUAAGUUCCGACCUGCACGAAUGGCGUAAUGAUGGCCAGGCUGUCUCCACCCGAGACUCAGUGAAAUUGAACUCGCUGUGAAGAUGCAGUGUACCCGCGGCAAGACGGAAAGACCCCGUGAACCUUUACUAUAGCUUGACACUGAACAUUGAGCCUUGAUGUGUAGGAUAGGUGGGAGGCUUUGAAGUGUGGACGCCAGUCUGCAUGGAGCCGGCCUUGAAAUACCACCCUUUAAUGUUUGAUGUUCUAACGUUGACCCGUGAUCCGGGUUGCGGACAGUGUCUGGUGGGUAGUUUGACUGGGGCGGUCUCCUCCUAAAGAGUAACGGAGGAGCACGAAGGUUGGCUAAUCCCGGUCGGACAUCAGGAGGUUAGUGCAAUGGCAUAAGCCAGCUUGACUGCGAGCGUGACGGCGCGAGCAGGUGCGAAAGCAGGUCAUAGUGAUCCGGUGGUUCUGAAUGGAAGGGCCAUCGCUCAACGGAUAAAAGGUACUCCGGGGAUAACAGGCUGAUACCGCCCAAGAGUUCAUAUCGACGGCGGUGUUUGGCACCUCGAUGUCGGCUCAUCACAUCACGGGGCUGAAGUAGGUCCCAAGGGUAUGGCUGUUCGCCAUUUAAAGUGGUACGCGAGCUGGGUUUAGAACGUCGUGAGACAGUUCGGUCCCUAUCUGCCGUGGGCGCUGGAGAACUGAGGGGGGCUGCUCCUAGUACGAGAGGACCGGAGUGGACGCAUCACUGGUGUUCGGGUUGUCAUGCCAAUGGCACUGCCCGGUAGCUAAAUGCGGAAGAGAUAAGUGCUGAAAGCAUCUAAGCACGAAACUUGCCCCGAGAUGAGUUCUCCUGACUCCUUGAGAGUCCUGAAGGAACGUUGAAGACGACGACGUUGAUAGGCCGGGUGUGUAAGCGCAGCGAUGCGUUGAGCUAACCGGUACUAAUGAACCGUGAGGCUUAACCUUACAACGCCGAAGGUGUUU